rnacentral:rRNA from 1 species
GAUGAACGCUAGCGGCAGGCCUAACACAUGCAAGUCGAGGGGCAGCACAGGUAGCAAUACUGGGUGGCGACCGGCGGAUGGGUGCGUAACGCGUAUGCAACCUACCAUUGAUUGGGGCAUAGCCCGAAGAAAUUCGGAUUAAUACUCCAUAAUAUUCAUCAAAGGCAUCUUUUAUGAAUUAAAGCUUUUGCGAUCAAUGAUGGGCAUGCGUGACAUUAGUUAGUUGGUGAGGUAACGGCUCACCAAAACGAUGAUGUCUAGGGGUUCUGAGAGGAUUAUCCCCCACACUGGUACUGAGACACGGACCAGACUCCUACGGGAGGCAGCAGUGAGGAAUAUUGGUCAAUGGGCGGAAGCCUGAACCAGCCAUGCCGCGUGCAGGAUGACGGCCCUACGGGUUGUAAACUGCUUUUCCCCGGGGCGAAUAACCCCCUCGCGAGGGGGAUGGCCGGUACCGGGGAAGUAAGGAUCGGCUAACUCCGUGCCAGCAGCCGCGGU